CCUACGGGAGGCUGCAGUGGGGAAUAUUGCGCAAUGGGCGAAAGCCUGACGCAGCAACGCCGCGUGAGUGAUGAAGGCCUUCGGGUCGUAAAGCUCUGUCAGGAGGAGCGAACACCCGGCAGGAACAAUACCCUGUCGGUUUGACGGUACCUCCAGAGGAAGCACCGGCUAACUCCGUGCCAGCAGCCGCGGUAAUACGGAGGGUGCUAGCGUUGUUCGGAAUUACUGGGCGUAAAGCGCGUGUAGGCGGAUCCAGAAGUCGGGUGUGAAAGCCCUGGGCUUAACCCAGGAAGUGCGCCCGAAACCAUGGGUCUUGAGGUCCGGAGGGGAUCGGGGAAUUCCCAGUGUAGAGGUGAAAUUCGUAGAUAUUGGGAGGAACACCGGUGGCGAAGGCGCCGAUCUGGACGGAUUCUGACGCUGAGACGCGAAAGCGUGGGUAGCAAACAGGAUUAGAUACCCGAGUAGUC
rnacentral:rRNA from 1 species